ACGUGAUUACCCGCUGAACUUAAGCCAUUCCUAAGCGGAGGAAAAGAAACUAACAAGGAUUCCCUUAGUAACGGCGAGUGAACAGGGAUAAGCCCAGCACCGAAGCCUGUGGCCGUUUGGCCCCUAGGCAAUGUGGUGUUCAGGUCAGCUCGCGGGGAUACUGCUCCACCCUAAGUCCUAUAAUGAGUAAGGUUACUCGGACGUGGCCCACAGAGGGUGAAAGGCCCGUGGGGGUGGAGACUCAGUUUGGCCAGUAUCUUCCUGAGCAGACCUUGGAGUCGGGUUGUUUGUGAAUGCAGCCCAAAGUGGGUGGUAAACUCCAUCCAAGGCUAAAUACUUGCACGAGUCCGAUAGCGAACAAGUACCGUGAGGGAAAGUUGAAAAGUACUUUGAAGAGAGAGUAAACAGUGCGUGAAACCGCUCAGAGGUAAACGGGUGGAGUUGAACUGCAAGCUCCGAGGAUUCAGCUGGUGAGAUUGGCAUGAGCUUGGUCAUGUGGGUUGUAUGUUCGGGUCUGCUUAGCUGCAGGUCCUCGCCUUUGGUGGGGAUGCGCGUAUCGCUUAUCAAGCGUUGUGCGCCCGGGCUUCUCGAGCCUUCUUGUCAUGUGCACUUUCUCAG
rnacentral:rRNA from 1 species